rnacentral:rRNA from 1 species
UGGGGAAUAUUGCACAAUGGGGGAAACCCUGAUGCAGCGACGCCGCGUGAGCGAAGAAGGCUUUCGAGUCGUAAAGCUCUGUCCUAUGAGAAGAUAAUGACGGUAUCAUAGGAGGAAGCCCUGGCUAAAUACGUGCCAGCAGCCGCGGUAAUACGUAUGGGGCGAGCGUUGUCCGGAAUUAUUGGGCGUAAAGGGUACGUAGGCGGUUUUUUAAGUCAGGUGUCAAAGCGUGGAGCUUAACUCCAUUAAGCACUUGAAACUGAAAGACUUGAGUGAAGGAGAGGAAAGUGGAAUUCCUAGUGUAGCGGUGAAAUGCGUAGAUAUUAGGAGGAAUACCGGUGGCGAAGGCGACUUUCUGGCCAUAUACUGACGCUGAGGUACGAAAGCGUGGGUAGCAAACAGG